UUAAUUAAUUAAUAAUAGACGUCAAUGCUCUUAACCACUCGAACUAUAAGCGUUUUUGGAUUUUAUGUGCAACUCGUACAUAAAAUAUGAGUUGACACAAGCACUAUGUCAACAAAGAAAAAAAAGUGAUUUUCGACACUCAAUUUUUCUCUUCUUACACAUCCAUGUUUAUUUACAACAUUUGAAUUAAAUAGUUUAAAAAAAAAUCAAGUACAACAACAACAAUAACAAAGUUUUUUCCUAUUAAGUGGGGUCGGCUAAAAAAAAGUGUGCAAAUAUAGAUUCGUGUGCAA
rnacentral:lncRNA from 1 species